rnacentral:rRNA from 1 species
GGUGGCGACCGGCGCACGGGUGAGUAACGCGUAUGCAACCUACCUAUCAGAGGGGAAUAACCCGGCGAAAGUCGGACUAAUACCGCAUAAAACAGGGACACCGCAUGGUGAUAUUUGUUAAAGAAAUUCGCUGAUAGAUGGGCAUGCGUUCCAUUAGGUAGUUGGUGAGGUAACGGCUCACCAAGCCGACGAUGGAUAGGGGAACUGAGAGGUUGGUCCCCCACACUGGUACUGAGACACGGACCAGACUCCUACGGGAGGCAGCAGUGAGGAAUAUUGGUCAAUGGGCGAGAGCCUGAACCAGCCAAGUCGCGUGGAAAAGGAAGAAGGAUCUAUGGUUCGUAAACUUCUUUUGCGAGGGGAAUAAAGUGCAGGACGUGUCCUGUUUUGUAUGUACCCUGAGAAUAAGGAUCGGCUAACUCCGUGCCAGCAGCCGC